AAUUCUCAACCUCAUGUCUUCCAUUUUGGAAGGCUUGGGUAUUGGAAUGUGGGAGUGUGCCAUGUUUCCUUUUGAGGGGACAGAGGCUCUCCUGAAAUGCAUAGUGAAUCCAGCUUUCUGUCCUGGGGUCGUUGAAGCUUUGGUUUGAUAGUCCUUUGUUUGUCUAUGUCCCACUGCUACAACAAGAGUACCCCAGAAACCUUGGAACGUCUGGGUGGCACUGCAAAUUUACCCCUCCUUUUUGACA
rnacentral:misc_RNA from 1 species